rnacentral:tRNA from 1 species
GGACAGAUGGCCGAGCUGGUUAUGGCGCCAGGUUAAGGUGAUCCCUUAGCACAAUUUCCUGGUCACGAAAGUGGCGUGGGUUCGAGUCCCACUCUGUUCA